AGUGAACGCUGGCGGUAGGCCUAACACAUGCAAGUCGAACGGCAGCACAGUAAGAGCUUGCUCUUAAGGGUGGCGAGGGGCGGACGGGUGAGGAAUACAUCGGAAUCUACUUUUUCGUGGGGGAUAACGUAGGGAAACUUACGCUAAUACCGCAUACGACCUACGGGUGAAAGCAGGGGAUCUUCGGACCUUGCGCGAUUGAAUGAGCCGAUGUCGGAUUAGCUAGUUGGCGAGGUAAAGGCCCACCAAGGCAACGAUCCGUAGCUGGUCUGAGAGGAUGAUCAGCCACACUGGAACUGAGACACGGUCCAGACUCCUACGGGAGGCAGCAGUGGGGAAUAUUGGACAAUGGGCGCAAGCCUGAUCCAGCCAUACCGCGUGGGUGAAGAAGGCCUUCGGGUUGUAAAGCCCUUUUGUUGGGAAAGAAAAGCAGCAGGUUAAUACCCCGCUGUUCUGACGGUACCCAAAGAAUAAGCACCGGCUAACUUCGUG
rnacentral:rRNA from 1 species